AAACGGCUCAAAUUUGAAAUCUAGCACCUUCGGUGUUCGAGUUGUAAUUUGAAGAUGGUAACCUUGGGUUUGGCUCUUGUCUAUGUUCCUUGGAACAGGACGUCAUAGAGGGUGAGAAUCCCGUCUGAUGAGAUGCCCAUUCCUAUGUAAGGUGCUAUCGAAGAGUCGAGUUGUUUGGGAAGGCAGCUCUAAGUGGGUGGUAAAUUCCAUCUAAAGCUAAAUAUUGGCGAGAGACCGAUAGCGAACAAGUACAGUGAUGGAAAGAUGAAAAGAACUUUGAAAAGAGAGUGAAAAAGUACGUGAAAUUGUUGAAAGGGAAGGGCAUUAGAUCAGACUUGGUGUUUUACGAUUAUCUUCUCUUCUUGAGUUGUGCACUCGUAUUUCACUGGGCCAGCAUCGAUUCGGAUGGCAAGAUAAUGGCAGUUGAAUGUGGCUUCACUUCGGUGGAGUGUUAUAGCUUCUGCUGAUAUUGCCUGUCUGGAUCGAGGGCUGCGUCUUUUGACUAGGAUGCUGGCGUAAUGAUCUAAUGCCGCCCGUCUGAAAAAACCGGGACCA
rnacentral:rRNA from 1 species